rnacentral:rRNA from 1 species
GACGAACGCUGGCGGCGUGCCUAAUACAUGCAAGUUGAGCGCUGAAGGUUGGUACUUGUACCAACUGGAUGAGCAGCGAACGGGUGAGUAACGCGUGGGGAAUCUGCCUUUGAGCGGGGGACAACAUUUGGAAACGAAUGCCAAUACCGCAUAAAAACUUUAAACACAAGUUUUAAGUUUGAAAGAUGCAAUUGCAUCACUCAAAGAUGAUCCCGCGUUGUAUUAGCUAGUUGGUGAGGUAAAGGCCCACCAAGGCGAUGAUACAUAGCCGACCUGAGAGGGUGAUCGGCCACAUUGGGACUGAGACACGGCCCAAACUCCUACGGGAGGCAGCAGUAGGGAAUCUUCGGCAAUGGACGAAAGUCUGACCGAGCAACGCCGCGUGAGUGAAGAAGGUUUUCGGAUCGUAAAACUCUGUUGGUAGAGAAGAACGUUGGUGAGAGUGGAAAGCUCAUCAAGUGACGGUAACUACCCAGAAAGGGACGGCUAACUACGUG